CUGGCUGGUAGGGGCGAUGAAGCGUGGUCCUGUAUUCGGGCACCUGGGACGCGCGGAGCCAGUGGUGCGACCGACUAUCCGUCAA
rnacentral:ncRNA from 2 species